rnacentral:ncRNA from 1 species
UAAUUGAAGAGUUUGAUCAUGGCUCAGAUUGAACGCUGGCGGCAGGCCUAACACAUGCAAGUCGAGCGGAAACAGGAAGGUGCUUGCACCUUUGCUGUCGAGCGGCGGACGGGUGAGUAAUGCCUAGGGAACUGCCCAGUCGAGGGGGAUAACAGUUGGAAACGACUGCUAAUACCGCAUACGCCCUACGGGGGAAAGGAGGGGACGCGUUUUUCGAAGUGCGCCUUUCGCGAUUGGAUGUACCUAGGUGGGAUUAGCUAGUUGGUAAGGUAAUGGCUUACCAAGGCGACGAUCCCUAGCUGGUCUGAGAGGAUGAUCAGCCACACUGGAACUGAGACACGGUCCAGACUCCUACGGGAGGCAGCAGUGGGGAAUAUUGCACAAUGGGCGCAAGCCUGAUGCAGCCAUGCCGCGUGUGUGAAGAAGGCCUUCGGGUUGUAAAGCACUUUCAGCGAGGAGGAAAGGUUGUAGUUUAAUAAACUAUAGCUGUGACGUUACUCGCAGAAGAAGCACCGGCUAACUUCGUGCCAGCAGCCGCGGUAAUACGAGGGGUGCAAGCGUUAAUCGGAAUUACUGGGCGUAAAGCGUACGCAGGCGGUUUGUUAAGCAAGAUGUGAAAGCCCCGGGCUCAACCUGGGAAUUGCAUUUUGAACUGGCAAACUAGAGUCUUGUAGAGGGGGGUAGAAUUUCAUGGUGUAGCGGUGAAAUGCGUAGAGAUCUGAAGGAAUACCGGUGGCGA